AGCGAACGCUGGCGGCAUGCCUAACACAUGCAAGUCGAACGAGACCUUCGGGUCUAGUGGCGCACGGGUGCGUAACGCGUGGGAACCUGCCCUUAGGUUCGGAAUAACUCCCCGAAAGGGGUGCUAAUACCGGAUAAUGUCUUCGGACCAAAGAUUUAUCGCCUUUGGAUGGGCCCGCGUUGGAUUAGCUAGUUGGUAGGGUAAAAGCCUACCAAGGCGACGAUCCAUAGCUGGUCUGAGAGGAUGAUCAGCCACACUGGGACUGGGACACGGCCCAGACUCCUACGGGAGGCAGCAGUGGGGAAUAUUGGACAAUGGGCGAAAGCCUGAUCCAGCAAUGCCGCGUGAGUGAUGAAGGCCUUAGGGUUGUAAAGCUCUUUUACCCGGGAUGAUAAUGACAGUACCGGGAGAAUAAGCUCCGGCUAACUCCGUG
rnacentral:rRNA from 1 species